rnacentral:rRNA from 1 species
CCUACGGGUGGCAGCAGUGAGGAAUAUUGGUCAAUGGACGAGAGACUGAACCAGCCAAGUAGCGUGAAGGAUGACGGCCCUAUGGGUUGUAAACUUCUUUUAUGUGGGAAUAAAAUGUUUCACGUGUGGGAUUUUGUAUGUACCAUAUGAAUAAGGACCGGCUAACUCCGUGCCAGCAGCCGCGGUAAUACGGAAGGUCCGAGCGUUAUCCGGAUUUAUUGGGUUUAAAGUGAGCGGAGGUGGAUUGUUAAGUCAGUUGGGAACGUUUGCGGCUCAACCGUAACAUUGCAGUUAAAACUGGCAGUCUUGAGUUCGCUAGAGGUAGGCGGAAUUCGUGGUGUAGCGGUGAAAUGCUUAGAUAUCACGAAGAACUCCGAGUGCGAAGGCAGCUCACUGGACUGCAACUGACGCUGAGGCUCGAAAGUGUGGGUAUCGAACAGGAUUAGAUACCCCAGUAGUC